rnacentral:lncRNA from 1 species
UCUCUUCUAUAAAUUUUCAUACUACUCACUCAAUACCUUCCCCUCUCUGUCUAUUUCUCUCUUACAAAUCCCAUUCUUCAACUUGCGCAGCCACUGCCCAGUUGUUGUGGUUGCUGAUGCCGCUGCCACUGCUAGCCACUGCCCAGCUUUCGCCCCUCCUUCUCCAUCUCCUAAGAAUUCUAGGUUUGAAUUAUAACUUAUUUCUUUUGUGUAUAAAUUUAAUGUUUUGUUAAUUAGUUAUGAAUUUAGUUAAUUAGUAUUUUAAUUGAUUAUUUAACUUUGCAUUUUAUUGAAAUCUACGGUUUAGGCCUUGUUUUAAUUGAAUUGAUUACAUAUUGUAUAAAUUAAAUGUUUAAGUUUGUAUUGUUUAGAAUAGUUUAGUCAGGAUUGAAUGAGUAACUUUGAAUUAAAUUUAGUUUUUAGGAUUUGUUCUUGUGAAUCGAACUUUUAGGAUAUGUGUUGAACUUUUAAGAUAUAAAUUAAACUUUUUGGAUAUAAAUUGAACUUUUUGGAUAUGAAUUUAAUUUUUAGGAACAUUUAGAGGAAGUUAAUCAUCCAUUACGUGAAGGAAGUCCGCAUUGUGAGUUGUCUGUUGCAGUUAGAUUACUAAGUAUUAAAUCUGAUUGGAAUCUUUCUCAAGCAGCCAUAGACUCUUUCAUUGACCUUAUGAGUGAACUAGUUGACCCAAAUAUCAAUUCACCAUGUGAUUUCUAUAAGACAAAGAAAUUGGUUUCUAAGUUAGGACUUUUGUCAAUAAGAAUUAAUUGUUUUGAAGAUAGUUGCACGUUAUAUUAUAAAGAUGAUGCAACUUUAGAAAGUUAUAGAUUUUACGAAAAGCCUCAUUUCAAGAGGCUUUCCAGCGGGAAUAUGGUGAGUGUAAAGGUGAUGCAUUAGUUACCCUUAUACCUGGGUUAAAGAGAUUAUAUGUAUCGAUGAGUUCUGCUUCUCAUAUGGGAUGACACUUUGAAAAUAGAAGACCACUUGGUGUUAUGUGUCAUCCUUCAAAUGGAGAGGAUUGGAAGCACUUUGAUAGGACAUAUCUAGAUUAUGCUAAUUAACCAAGGAACAUUCAGCUAGGUUUAUGUGUGCAUGGCUCCAUGCCUUUUACUAUACCUGCGACACCAUAUUCAUGCUGGCCCGUUUGAGUGAUAUGGAAUACAAGUCAACUACAAUUUAUGUGUUGCUAAAUUAUCCUGAAGAUGUGCCAUUUCUCAAGUACGUAAUUAUUUGUUAGUUAUCAAAAUGUAUAAUUUAUUAUGAUUACAUAUUUAUGCAACUACUAAAAAUUUUUGAUGAGUUACUGUCACUUCUUGGGUCAAUUUGGUCAUGAUGUUGUAUAUACGAGAUUUGAUACGUGGUUCAAACAGUUUGUAAAUUUAUCCUAAUAAUGUCCUUCUUAUGUUCCCGCUAUAUAUUUAUAUUCGGUUAUGCUAACUUAUGAAUUUUUUUAACACUAUGUAAGUAAAUAAUUCAAAUAAUGAUGUAAAUCAAAUUUUGAAAGAUAUAUCUUGGGGACCUGGGCUUCAGGUCACAACAGUGUCAUAGUAGGAUUGAAUGGUUAUAAGUUUCAUAUAGAGGAUUGCUCUAAAAAUAAAAAUAGCAAUAACAGUGGGGUGUGGGUUCAAGGUGGUGAUGGCAACCAAGUUAGAGAUUUUGAUUAUUAUUGUGUGGUCAAAAAAUAUUACAACUAGAAUAUACAAUUGGCCAUAUAAGAAAUUGAUACUCUUUAGAUGCAAGUGGUUUGACCUAAAUCUAACAAGAGGUACAAGAGUACACCACCUAUACAACAUAAUUGAGGUUAAUUAUACGAUGGAGUAUGAUCGUUAUGAUCCUUUUAUAAUUGCACAUAACGUUAGUCAAGUGUAUUAUGCUCCUUAUCAAUUGCGGCGGUAUAAGCUCGAUUGGUGGGCUGUAAUAAAAACUAAGUUGUACGUAGGGUGAAAGUCGAGAAUAUAUUAGAUGUUGCAUAUCAGAACGAUAUCUCUAGUGUUCACCAAAUAGUAGACAAUCAGUCAGAAAAUGAUUUGGAAUAUCCUAAACGCAUAUUGGACAAAGUUGAUAUAAAAGAAGUAACAGUUAUAGAAAAUGAGGAUAAAAAAUAAACUGAUGAAACUCAAACAAUUGGCUAUUGUACAACAUAAUAUGAUCUCCAACUUUAAAAUCUUUAUGACAGAUGAGCUUGUCAUGCCACUUUUUUGUCUUUUCCUUGUACAAUUUAGUAUUUUCUUAUGCUAUAAGUCGAAACUCUUCCAACUCAUCAAGCUGUAAUAGACGAUUUUUACCUGCAUUUGGUAAGAUUAAUUCAACAAUUUUAUAGCCCGAUAUGCUUUAUGUUCUAAUUCCACAGGUAAAUGAUAAGUUUUUCCAAAAACUAGUCUAUACGGAGAUGUACAUGUUGGAGUUUUUUAAGCAGUUCUGUACGCCCAUAAAGCAUCAUCCAAUUUAAAGACCAAUAUUUUCGAGAAGAACUAACAGUUUUUUCUAAAAUUCUUUCUAAUUCUCUGUUGGAAACUUCUACUUGCCCGCUUGUUUGAGCGUGGUAUGAAGUUCCUAUUUUAUGAGUUACUCCAUAUUUUAACAACAAACUAGCAAAUUGUCUAUUUAUAAAAUGAGUUCCUUGAUCACUUAUUAUUACUCGCAGAGUUCCAAAUCUAGAAAAUAUAUUUUUCUUGAGAAAAGUACAAACAAUAUGAGCAUCAUUUUUUCAAGUAGCAUUUGCUUCUACCCAUUUUGAAAUAUAGUCAACAACAACUAAAAUAUAUUCACAGCCGUUUGAAGGAGGAAAAGGACCCAUAAAAUCAAUACCUCAAACAUCAAAUAUUUAACAAACAAGGAUAGAAUUAAGAGGCAGCUCAUCCCUUUUUGAAACGUUACCACUUUUCUAACAUUUGUCGCAAGUGGCAACAUAAUUUCUUGCGCCUUUGAAUAAAGUAGGCCAAUAAAAUCCAACUUCAAGUACUUUAGCUGAUGUCUUUCGUCCUCCAUAGUGUCCUCCUAUAGCUCCAUCAUGGCAAUGACUUAAAAUAUUGUUCAUUUUAGUUUCAGGUACACAUCUCCUGAUUAUAUCAUCUGCAUAAAAUUUAAACAAAUAAGGAUAUUCCCAGUAAUAAUGUUUUGUCUCUUUUCUAAGUUUUUUUCUUUGAUCGUAAGAAAAAUAUUUUGGAAUCCACCCUCCUGCUAACUAAUUGGCAAUAUCAACAAACCAAAUAGGUUUAUUUACAACUGUUGCAACAAAAAAGGUCAUCUGAAAAACCCUCUUGGAUAUCUAGUAUUCAAUAAGAGGAUUCUCUAAAUGUGACAAAUAAUUAACUACCUAAUUUUCUGAAUCUUUUCUAUCUUUUAUUUCGAGAUCAAAUUCUUACAAAAGGAGUAUCCAUCUUAGCAAUCUAGGUCUAGAAUCUUUCUUUGUUAAUAGAUACUUUAAGGCUGUGUGAUUAAUAAAUACUAUAACCUUUGUUCCUAUCAAAGAAGAACAAGAAUUGUCAAACGCCAAUACUACUACCAAUAACUCCUUCUCGGUUGCUACAUAAUUCAUUUGAGCUUCAUUGAGGGUUCUGCUGGCAUAUUAUACGAGUCUAAAGAUUUUAUUUUUAUUUUGCCACAAUGUUGCUCCUACUGCUAUAUCACUUACAUCACACAUUAUUUCCAAUGGCUGGCUCCAAUCAGGAGAGACAACAAUUUGAGCAUUAGUCAAUUGUUCUUUGAGAAACUCAAAUGCUUUUCUGCAAUUAUCUGAAAAUUCAAAUUUCACAUCUUUCAUCAGUAGGUUAGUCAGAGGUUUUGAAAUUUUUGAAGUCUUUUAUAAACCUUUUAUAAAAUCUUGCAUGCUCUAAGAAACUUCUAAUACCUUUAACAGUGAUGGUAUGGGGUAAUCCUGCUAUAAGAUCAAUUGUAGUUUUAUCAACUUCUAUUAUUUUAGCAGUGAUUUUAUGUCUUAAAACAAUUCCCUCUGUUAUUUCCCAAUUAAGAACUAGAUUUGUCUCUUCACAUCUUUUAAGAACCAAAGUUAAAUGAUAGAGACAAUCUUCAAAUGUCUUACCAAAAAGUGUGAAAUCAUCUAUGAAAAUUUCAAGAAACCUUUCAAUCGUAUCUGAGAAAAUUGCCGACAUGCAACGCUAAAAUGUAGCAGGAGUAUUACAUAGUCCAAAUGGCAGUCUUCUGUAAGCAUACAUCCCUUGGGGGCGUGUGAAUGUGGUUUUAUCCUGAUCUUCUAGAGAAAUUGGUAUCUGAUUAUACCCAAAAUAUCCGUCAAGAAAACAAUAAAAAUUAUGGCAUGCAAUUCUUUCAAGCAUUUUGUCAAUAAAAGGCAAAGGAAAAUGAUCCUUCCUCGUGGCAUCAUUAAGUCGUUUGUAAUUAAUACAGAAUCUCCAUCCUGUGACUGUUCUAGAAAUCAUCCAUGAAAAUUUCAAGAAACUUUUCAGUCAUAUCUGAGAAAAAUGCUGACAUGCAACGCUGAAAUGUAGCAUGAGCAUUACAUAGUCGAAGUGGCAUUCUUUUGUAAGCAUACGUACCUUGGGGGCAUGUGAAUGUUGUUUUCUCCUUAUCUUCUAGAGCAAUUGGUAUCUGAUUAUACCCAGAAUAUCCGUCAAGAAAACAAUAAAAACUACGGCCUGCAAUUCUUUCAAGCAUUUGGUCAAUUAAAGGAAAAGGAAAAUGAUCCUUCGCUGUGGCAUCAUUAAGUCAUGUGUAAUCAAUGCAGACUCCCCAUCCUGUGACUGUUCUAGUAGGUAUGAGUUCACUAUUUUUAUUUUUUAUUAUGGUCAUACCUCAUUUCUUUGGUACUACCUGUACAGAACUUACCCAAAGGCUAUCAAAUAUUGGAUAAAUGAUACCUUCCGCUAGAAGUUUCACCACUUCUUCCUUGAUAACUUCUUGCAUUGCUGGAUUCAGUCUCCUUUGUGGUUGGACUAUUGAUUUGUAAUUUUCUUCCAUGAGGAUCCUAUGCAUACAAGAAGCUGGAUUGAUUCCCUUGAUGUCUGUUAUAGUCCACCCUAAAGCUCUUUUAUGUUUUCUCAAGAUCUCGAUCAGUUUGUAUUCCUGUUCUUGAGUCAAACAAGAUGAAAU